UGGCGCAAUGGAUAGCGCGCCAGACUUCGGAUCUGGAGGUUGAGGGUUCGAGUCCCUC
rnacentral:tRNA from 1 species